UGUAAGAUUCAUUAAUUUUAUUUAAUUUGUGAGAACUUAACCAACCAUCAGAGUGGCGCAGCGGAAGCGUGGUGGGCCCAUAACCCACAGGUCCCUGGAUCGAAACCAGGCUCUGAUAAAAUAGAGAAGCUUCCUUCUUUUCAAAUGGGUGAAUUA